rnacentral:rRNA from 1 species
UAUGCCUACUAUAUCACCCGGAAUGUACUUGAUCCCAUCAGAUGUCAGCAGCUAAGCAGGUUUAAGCCUGGAUAGUGCUUGGAUGAGCACCCACGAUGUACACGAGGUGUCAUAGGCAUCU